rnacentral:rRNA from 1 species
UACGGAGGGGGCUAGCGUUGUUCGGAAUUACUGGGCGUAAAGCGCGCGUAGGCGGAUUGGAAAGUUGGGGGUGAAAUCCCGGGGCUCAACCUCGGAACUGCCUUCAAAACUCCCAGUCUUGAGUUCGAGAGAGGUGAGUGGAAUUCCGAGUGUAGAGGUGAAAUUCGUAGAUAUUCGGAGGAACACCAGUGGCGAAGGCGGCUCACUGGUUCGAUACUGACGCUGAGGUGCGAAAGCGUGGGGAGCAAACAGG